ACCUUAGAGACCAACUAAGUUUGUUAUUGGUAUGAGCUUUGGUGUAUCUGAAGAAGUGUGCAUGCACACGAAAGCUCAUACCAAUAACAAACUUAGUUGGUCUCUAAGGU